rnacentral:rRNA from 1 species
CGGCGAACGGGUGAGUAACACGUGGGUGACCUGCCCUCAGCUCUGGGAUAAGCCUGGGAAACUGGGUCUAAUACCGGAUAUGACCUCUCAUCGCAUGGUGGGUGGUGGAAAGUUUUUCGGCUGGGGAUGGGCCCGCGGCCUAUCAGCUUGUUGGUGGGGUGAUGGCCUACCAAGGCGACGACGGGUAGCCGGCCUGAGAGGGCGACCGGCCACACUGGGACUGAGAUACGGCCCAGACUCCUACGGGAGGCAGCAGUGGGGAAUAUUGCGCAAUGGGCGAAAGCCUGACGCAGCGACGCCGCGUGGGGGAUGACGGCCUUCGGGUUGUAAACCUCUUUCGACCGGGACGAAGGGUGACUGACGGUACCGGUAGAAGAAGCACCGGCCAACUACGUGCCAGCAGCCGCGGUAAUACGUAGGGUGCGAGCGUUGUCCGGAAUUAUUGGGCGUAAAGAGCUCGUAGGCGGUGUGUCGCGUCGGUCGUGAAAACUUGGGGCUCAACCCUGAGCGUGCGGUCGAUACGGGCAUCACUUGAGUUCGGCAGGGGAGACUGGAAUUCCUGGUGU